rnacentral:rRNA from 1 species
UACGUAGGGAGCAAGCGUUGUCCGGAAUCACUGGGCGUAAAGCGCACGUAGGCGGAUUCUUAAGUCAGGGGUGAAAUCCUGGAGCUCAACUCCAGAACUGCCUUUGAUACUGGGAAUCUCGAGUCCGGGAGAGGUGAGUGGAACUGCGAGUGUAGAGGUGAAAUUCGUAGAUAUUCGCAAGAACACCAGUGGCGAAGGCGGCUCACUGGCCCGGUACUGACGCUGAGGUGCGAAAGCGUGGGGAGCAAACAGG